rnacentral:rRNA from 1 species
UACGUAGGUGGCAAGCGUUGUCCGGAAUUAUUGGGCGUAAAGCGCGCGCAGGCGGCCCUUUAAGUCUGAUGUGAAAGCCCACGGCUCAACCGUGGAGGGUCAUUGGAAACUGGGGGACUUGAGUGCAGAAGAGGAGAGUGGAAUUCCACGUGUAGCGGUGAAAUGCGUAGAGAUGUGGAGGAACACCAGUGGCGAAGGCGACUCUCUGGUCUGUAACUGACGCUGAGGCGCGAAAGCGUGGGGAGCGAUCCGG